rnacentral:rRNA from 1 species
UACGUAGGGUGCAAGCGUUGUCCGGAAUUAUUGGGCGUAAAGAGCUCGUAGGCGGUUUGUCGCGUCGGCUGUGAAAACCUGGGGCUCAACCCCGGGCCUGCAGCCGAUACGGGCAAACUAGAAUUCGGUAGGGGAGACUGGAAUUCCUGGUGUAGCGGUGAAAUGCGCAGAUAUCAGGAGGAACACCGGUGGCGAAGGCGGGUCUCUGGGCCGAUAUUGACGCUGAGGAGCGAAAGUGUGGGGAGCGAAUAGG